UAUUUUGACCGUGCAAAGGUAGCAUAAUAAUUAGUUUUUUAAUUGAAAACUUGUAUGAAUGGUUGGACAAAACAAAAACUGUCUCUGUUAUAAAAAUUUAAUUUAACUUUUAAGUGAAAAGGCUUAAAUAAAUCAACGGGACGAUAAGACCCUAUAAGCUUUAUAUUUAAAUUAGAUGAUUUAGAAAUAAAAUUAAAUAUAAUUUAUAAUAAAAUAUUUGGCUGGGGCGGCAUGUUUAAAAUUUUUGUUAACUUUUUUAAAUUUAACCACAUUUAAGUGAAAAUAAUGGAUCCUUUUUAAAGAUCUAAAGAUCAGUUACUUUAGGGAUAACAGCGUUAUUUUUUUUGAGAGCUCGUAUCGAAAAAAAAGAUUGCGACCUCGAUGUUGAAUUAAAAUUUCUAUUAAGUGCAGCAGCUUUAUAAGAGGGUCUGUUCGACC
rnacentral:rRNA from 1 species